rnacentral:rRNA from 1 species
AUGGUAGGAGAGCGUUCUAAGGGCGUUGAAGCAUGAUCGUAAGGACAUGUGGAGCGCUUAGAAGUGAGAAUGCCGGUGUGAGUAGCGAAAGACGGGUGAGAAUCCCGUCCACCGAUUGACUAAGGUUUCCAGAGGAAGGCUCGUCCGCUCUGGGUUAGUCGGGUCCUAAGCUGAGGCCGACAGGCGUAGGCGAUGGAUAACAGGUUGAUAUUCCUGUACCACCUAUAAUCGUUUUAAUCGAUGGGGGGACGCAGUAGGAUAGGCGAAGCGUGCGAUUGGAUUGCACGUCUAAGCAGUAAGGCUGAGUAUUAGGCAAAUCCGGUACUCAUUAAGGCUGAGCUGUGAUGGGGAGAAGACAUUGUGUCUUCGAGUCGUUGAUUUCACACUGCCGAGAAAAGCCUCUAGAUAGAAAAUAGGUGCCCGUACCGCAAACCGACACAGGUAGUCAAGAUGAGAAUUCUAAGGUGAGCGAGCGAACUCUCGUUAAGGAACUCGGCAAAAUGACCCCGUAACUUCGGGAGAAGGGGUGCUCUUUAGGGUUAACGCCCAGAAGAGCCGCAGUGAAUAGGCCCAAGCGACUGUUUAUCAAAAACACAGGUCUCUGCUAAACCGUAAGGUGAUGUAUAGGGGCUGACGCCUGCCCGGUGCUGGAAGGUUAAGAGGAGUGGUUAGCUUCUGCGAAGCUACGAAUCGAAGCCCCAGUAAACGGCGGCCGUAACUAUAACGGUCCUAAGGUAGCGAAAUUCCUUGUCGGGUAAGUUCCGACCCGCACGAAAGGCGUAACGAUUUGGGCACUGUCUCAACGAGAGACUCGGUGAAAUCAUAGUACCUGUGAAGAUGCAGGUUACCCGCGACAGGACGGAAAGACCCCGUGGAGCUUUACUGUAGCCUGAUAUUGAAAUUCGGCACAGCUUGUACAGGAUAGGUAGGAGCCUUUGAAACGUGAGCGCUAGCUUACGUGGAGGCGCUGGUGGGAUACUACCCUAGCUGUGUUGGCUUUCUAACCCGCACCACUUAUCGUGGUGGGAGACAGUGUCAGGCGGGCAGUUUGACUGGGGCGGUCGCCUCCUAAAAGGUAACGGAGGCGCUCAAAGGUUCCCUCAGAAUGGUUGGAAAUCAUUCAUAGAGUGUAAAGGCAUAAGGGAGCUUGACUGCGAGACCUACAAGUCGAGCAGGGUCGAAAGACGGACUUAGUGAUCCGGUGGUUCCGCAUGGAAGGGCCAUCGCUCAACGGAUAAAAGCUACCCCGGGGAUAACAGGCUUAUCUCCCCCAAGAGUUCACAUCGACGGGGAGGUUUGGCACCUCGAUGUCGGCUCAUCGCAUCCUGGGGCUGUAGUCGGUCCCAAGGGUUGGGCUGUUCGCCCAUUAAAGCGGUACGCGAGCUGGGUUCAGAACGUCGUGAGACAGUUCGGUCCCUAUCCGUCGUGGGCGUAGGAAAUUUGAGAGGAGCUGUCCUUAGUACGAGAGGACCGGGAUGGACAUACCUCUGGUGUACCAGUUGUCGUGCCAACGGCAUAGCUGGGUAGCUAUGUGUGGACGGGAUAAGUGCUGAAAGCAUCUAAGCAUGAAGCCCCCCUCAAGAUGAGAUUUCCCAACUUCGGUUAUAAGAUCCCUCAAAGAUGAUGAGGUUAAUAGGUUCGAGGUGGAAGCAUGGUGACAUGUGGAGCUGACGAAUACUAA